AGUGAACGCUGGCGGUAGGCCUAACACAUGCAAGUCGAACGGCAGCACAGUAAGAGCUUGCUCUUACGGGUGGCGAGUGGCGGACGGGUGAGGAAUACAUCGGAAUCUACUUUUUCGUGGGGGAUAACGUAGGGAAACUUACGCUAAUACCGCAUACGACCUACGGGUGAAAGCAGUGGAUCUUCGGACCUUGCGCGAUUGAAUGAGCCGGUGUCGGAUUAGCUAGUUGGCGGGGUAAAGGCCCACCAAGGCGACGAUCCGUAGCUGGUCUGAGAGGAUGAUCAGCCACACUGGAACUGAGACACGGUCCAGACUCCUACGGGAGGCAGCAGUGGGGAAUAUUGGACAAUGGGCGCAAGCCUGAUCCAGCCAUACCGCGUGGGUGAAGAAGGCCUUCGGGUUGUAAAGCCCUUUUGUUGGGAAAGAAAAGCAGCAGGUUAAUACCCCGCUGUUCUGACGGUACCCAAAGAAUAAGCACCGGCUAACUUCGUG
rnacentral:rRNA from 1 species